GAGGGUAUAGUUCAAGUGGUAGAGCUCAUGCUUACAAGCAUGAGGUCCUGGGUUCAAUCCCCAGUCCCUCCU
rnacentral:tRNA from 1 species